rnacentral:lncRNA from 1 species
UGUACCAAAGGAAAAAUUUUAGAAUGCAACGGAUAUAUUGGUGACGUAGUGUAACAAACUAAUCAAAAAUCUUCUUUUAGAGAUAUAUAUCCCAUCAUGAUUAUAAAAAAGUAUUUUUAUUGUACUUUUGUUUGAAAAAAAGAAAUAUGAUUGGCUUAUUAUGGAUGACGUGAUAUAAGUGUGAUAGUUAGAAUUCCCCGUACCAAAGGGACUAUUAGUCUAUUAUAAGGUGUAUCAACACACACAUAGAUAUACUGACUGUUUCCAGCACAAAUGACAAAAAAAUUAGUGGUUGGCAUUCGAAAUUUCAAGUUUGAAAUCUAAUUGCUUUAUAUUUUUAGCUAAGUUUAUUUUUUAAAAAAUAAACGAAGCGAAUAGCAUGCUACCUUUCUUUUUUAAAAAAAAAAACACACAUAAAUAUAUGUGACGCUCCACUUCCUAAGAAGUCACUCAUUCUAGAACUACUCUGGCUAUAGUACGCUUAAUUCUCUUAAUCUGAAUGAAAAGAUAAAGUGAUUGAUGAAAAAUAUUUCGUACCAUCGGGAUGUAAAACUAAAUUUUGUCUACAUUUCUAAAUUAUUAUUAUAAAAUUUUAAAUUAUGUAAUUUUUUAUCUAUAACUUUUUAUAUGAUUUAUAUUGUAUAUAUUAAAAAUAAAUUUUAAUUUUAUAAU